GAGCACUUGAUACUAACCGAGCCGUCUGUAUGCCAGGUCUCCUCCAGAGGUCUGAGGUAUACUUUGUGAUUGCUGGGUCUGAAAAGUGCAAUAUUAAAACAAGCCCUGCAGUGUUUAAGCUCAGUGUGUAAAGGAUGACACUGGGUUAUAGCUCAGAGGCACAGAG
ensembl:scaRNA